rnacentral:rRNA from 1 species
GAUGAACGCUAGCGACAGGCCUAACACAUGCAAGUCGAGGGGCAGCACAAGGAGCAAUCUGAGGUGGCGACCGGCGCACGGGUGAGUAACACGUAUGCAACCUACCUGUAAGAGGGGAAUAACCCGUUGAAAAACGGACUAAUACCGCAUAACACUGUAGAACCGCAUGGUUUGACAGUUAAACAUUUAUGGCUUACAGAUGGGCAUGCGCAUGAUUAGCUAGUUGGUGAGGUAACGGCUCACCAAGGCAACGAUCAUUAGGGGUUCUGAGAGGAAGGUCCCCCACACUGGUACUGAGACACGGACCAGACUCCUACGGGAGGCAGCAGUGAGGAAUAUUGGUCAAUGGGCGAGAGCCUGAACCAGCCAAGUCGCGUGAAGGAUGAAGGUUUUAUGAAUUGUAAACUUCUUUGCAGGGGAAUAAAGUGUCCGACGUGUCGGAUUUUGUAUGUACUCUGCGAAUAGGAUCGGCUAACUCCGUGCCAGC